rnacentral:rRNA from 1 species
AUAACAGUUGGAAACGGCUGCUAAUACCGCAUAAGCGCACAGUACCGCAUGGUACAGUGUGAAAAACUCCGGUGGUGUGAGAUGGACCCGCGUCUGAUUAGCUAGUUGGCAGGGCAACGGCCUACCAAGGCGACGAUCAGUAGCCGACCUGAGAGGGUGACCGGCCACAUUGGGACUGAGACACGGCCCAAACUCCUACGGGAGGCAGCAGUGGGGAAUAUUGCACAAUGGGGGAAACCCUGAUGCAGCGACGCCGCGUGAGCGAAGAAGUAUUUCGGUAUGUAAAGCUCUAUCAGCAGGGAAGAAGAAAUGACGGUACCUGACUAAGAAGCACCGGCUAAAUACGUGCCAGCAGCCGCGGUAAUACGUAUGGUGCAAGCGUUAUCCGGAUUUACUGGGUGUAAAGGGAGCGCAGGCGGAAGGCUAAGUCUGAUGUGAAAGCCCGGGGCUCAACCCCGGUACUGCAUUGGAAACUGGUCAUCUAGAGUGUCGGAGGGGUAAGUGGAAUUCCUAGUGUAGCGGUGAAAUGCGUAGAUAUUAGGAGGAACACCAGUGGCGAAGGCGGCUUACUGGACGAUAACUGACGCUGAGGCUCGAAAGCGUGGGGAGCAAACAGGAUUAGAUACCCUGGUAGUCCACGCCGU